GUUGGGAAAGACUAGGUGCGUUCACCGCUCUGCCUUGAAGGCCCGGAUCCAAAAAAGAUGGUCCAGUUCCGGCCAUGGUAAAUCCACCUGUUUUAGAAGAGGAGGUGCCUCCAGCAGAAGACCCGUCAGAAGAAGUUGAUCUGCUUAUGUUGGUCCAAGCAACCUCUCCGGUGAGUCAGGGGCCAGUGCCUCAGGUGCUGGUUUCUCUGGAUCUUUCUAUCCCACAGAGAGUGUUAGUGGAGUCUGAUGGGGAGGCCCCAGUUGAUAGGAGCCAUGAGGCACCUGAUUUGAUAUCUGGGUUAUCGCAUGAGCCUGCUAGGUUGCCAGAUGACCAGUCAGGCGAGGCAGGUGUCCCCGUGAGGAGAACUGGGCGAACCACUGCGGGCUAUCAUUCAAAUGUGCACCGUCUACCAUGGGCUGUUGCACGAGACGCAGGAGCUGCCACCGUACAUAGCCCUACCUCUUCUGGGAUCUCCAUUUGGUUUAGGCCUUGGGACGUAGGACAGGAUUAGUCUGCAAGUAAUUGUCGUCUGUUCAUCGCCGGGACGUCGAUUUAAAAAAAAUGGGGCAGAAUGUGGCAGGAUAAGUCUUUUAUUGGCUGGUUGAUGUACAGUUGGUUCACCAAUCAAAUGAUAGCGACAGCACUAGCAUCUCAUUGGUUGGUGGGGUUAAAGUUCAUAUACCAAUGAAACGAUAGUAUCUAUACUAUUUAAGGACCUUUAUUAUGGCAGGUGGGUAUGUUUGUGACCUGGGGUGCUUCUCUCUCUCUCUCCCUGGCAUUUCCGUUUCCGUUCUGAUUCCUUCCUCAGUUUCAUUUAGAGCGCGUCUGGUGGCGUUGGCAGUGCGGCAACUCGCGGCGUAUUUCGGCUGCAGUAAUUGCAGUGAGAGCAGUGAAUGCUGGCUGGUAGACUGAGCUAUGACACCGGUUGUGAGUAACCAUAUAGCGUUGCAUCUAAUGUUUAUUCAAUAACAAUCUUAAGGGGAAAUUAAAACAUCUUAGUCCUCAUCCUGGCCAAUGAUUUCAGGCAACGCAGCUGCUGUUUUGCUUAGGGACGCAUUUUGGAGUCCGAUCUGCACUUUACGGUCUUUUGUGCUUUAAUACUUUGA